rnacentral:lncRNA from 1 species
GGAUGUGACUCAGUUAACUGCCUCUAGGUUCAAUCCCUGGUACAAAAAAAAAAAAAAUGUGUGUGUGUGUAUUGGACAUUCAUUGUGUACAUUGCCCUAUUCAAAACACUGUGAAGGGGUGUUAAAGUCAAUACGUAGAUGACCUUGCUCUCAGAGAGUAGACAGAUAGAUAGAAAGGCGGGUAUUAAGUAGAAAUGUAGAUACUCCCAAGCUUGUAGGUUGGCAUUCUCAAUACCUAUAUCCAGAGUAGUGAAGUGUUUACAACAUUUUGUUUUGGAUAUGUAUUCUCUAAGUACGUCCAAUAUUUACAUCUUAACAGAAUCUAACUUCCAGCAAUCAUCCUUUACAUACCCAUUGUUUUUAUUUCAGUGCCUAACGAUGUUGAUCAUAAAUCCUUUUUUCUAAUAGUAGCUAGUUUCUCAAAUGUGUUUGUGCU